UAGCUCAAACGGUAAAGCAUCUGCCUGCGAGGCAGGAGACCAGGGUUCGAUCCCUG
rnacentral:tRNA from 1 species